rnacentral:misc_RNA from 1 species
GAUGAAGAACGCAGCGAAAUGCGAUACGUAAUGUGAAUUGCAGAAUUCAGUGAAUCAUCGAGUCUUUGAACGCACAUUGCGCCCCCUGGUAUUCCGGAGGGCAUGCCUGUUCGAGCGUCAUUAUCACCCCUCAAGCCCGGCUUGUUGUUGGAUGCAGCGCUUAUCCCGCUCCUCCCAAAGAUAAUGACGGCGUCUGCGACGACUCCUGUACACUGAGCUUUCGGGCACGUACACGGCUAGAAGUCCAGACCCGGUCGCCGUCCCCCCCGCGGGGACACCCAUUACCACAAGGUUGACCUCGGAUCAGGUAGGAAUACCCGCUGAACUUAAGCAUAUCAAUAAGCGGAGGA